GGAGAAUUCCUGUAUCCCUAGCCAGUUCAAUGGAUGGACUUAAGGAGCACUUUCUUAUAGGAUUCACUCUUUAGAAGUUGCUGCAUGGCCUGCAACUUUGCACUUAAUCGGGUGCACAGUGCACCUCCUUGAGGGAAUUACCAGAUUUUACAUAUUUGGGGUAAACUCUUUUGGCAGGGUGGUCAAAAUAAGAAAAGAAAAGUUGACA
rnacentral:misc_RNA from 1 species